GGAGAGGUGUCCGAGUGGCUUAAGGAGCACGCUUGGAAAGCGUGUGGCCUCCCAAAAGGGGGCUCGGGGGUUCGAAUCCCCCCCUCUCCGCCA
rnacentral:tRNA from 1 species